rnacentral:snRNA from 2 species
GUCCUAGCUUCGGUUGGCCAUAUACCAAAAUUGGGAAGAUACAGAGAAUGACCCCUGCGCAAGGGUGAUACGCAAAAUCGCGAAGCGUUCCAAAUUUGU